rnacentral:lncRNA from 1 species
GACCCGCUUUGCAUUAGCUCCUCCUUUCCCCUCCGCACGACUUCGCGUAACAACCUGGUUCGAUUCUUGUGGGAGUCAAUCUCCACAACCCCGGAUGAAUUGGCCGCCUUGAUCGUGGUGCAUAUAAGUUGCGCCCCAGAACCUCUAAUCCCACGUCGGAAUCACGUAGAACCACCGCGAGGGAGAGAGAGAGUCGAUCAUAUCGUCGCGAUCAACCAGAGUAAUAGCGAGGGGAGAGGGAGAGCCGCUGCGGCAAACUCGGGUGAUUGACCUCCAGUCUACGCCAGGCUGCUGGGGGAGGCGCUAGGAUCACCACCGAACGAAGAAGGGCCCGAGAUUCCGAGGAUAGUUCGUCGGCGUGGAAGCUUCGCCGCCGCGCCACCAUCUGCGUUUGGGAGCCUUCUUCCACUGACCCGCUCUCUGGUAAGACCUCCAGAUAGUCUCUACUUGUUACAAGGAUGGUGUAGCGCAUGUCCGGGGGAGGAAUCGUGCACCCAAGGGCCAGAUUGACUUGCUCCGGCAAGCAAACCAUCAUGGGUGCGGGCGCCGCCGUGUCGGGAUUGCUGGAGGAUGGUGGCGCCCUCUGAUCGUUGAUAUGUAGAUGUGCGGCUAAGAUUAGUCUGUCUUACCGGUUUGGUGAGGAUGAAGUUUAUGUUGUAAAUUUAGAGAAAUAAGUGACAUGCUUUCUACAUAUUUAUAUAUAUUAAAUAUUUUAAUUCCGAAUAAAACAAUCAUAUAACUCAGAUAAAUACCAUAUGAAAUUAUAGCAGGAAUGAACAGUAGCAAUUCUAAGACAUGUAAACAUGUAAAAUAGCUACACAGGUCCAUUUCAUAAUUAAACAUGGCUUGCAGAUAAAGAAGGCAGAUUAAACAAAUAAACAUAAUUGUUUAUCUUAAACUAUUGCUCUCAAAAUAGCGGGUUGCUGUAAUAAACAGCCCUCCAACGCUAAAAGGUGAUCAGAGAUCCUCGACUAACGUGACAGUCCUAUCUUACCAAAUAAGGGUUUUAGAUCAGAUGUAAUAAGCCUAAUAAUCAAAUAUAAAUACUGAUAGAAAGGAGCUGUCUACUAAAUAAAUUAACAGAAUUUAACACAGGUAAACAGCCCCAACAAAGAGAGAUUUAAUUAGGCACAAAUAAUAUCAAUGAUGAAAAUGAUAAUACACUAAAACCCAGACUGUCACGCUGUCUCACUACACCGCUAUCAUCAUCGAGCACACAAAUCCGCCCACAACAGUGCAAUCACACCCAAGUAUUUAAUACUAGCAGAUUGCACAAAAUUAAACAGUAAAUAAAGUGAGGCAACGAAUAACUCACAACACGUAGAUUGUCUACGUGGGAAGACCAGCUCAGCGAACACAAGGUUCUGUCCCAGAAAACCAAUUCCGCUGCCCACGUCCGGGCCUGCACGGCGGGAGGCUGAUGGAGAUACUAGAGCCGCUGCCGGAGCCGAGGGAGACGUCCACGGCACCAGCCCGAGAAGACGAACACCGCGCAGCAGGGAGCCCAGGCACCAGGCCACGGUGGACAGAGAUCAGAUCAGACAGAGCACCACGCAGGCGCACUGUAAAUCAACGAAGCACAGGAGAACCUUGUUGCACAAGAACAGCACCACCUCUACUAGCUUCCAAUCACCACCAGCGAUUAAACACAGGAACACUAGGGACUUAUGGAGCUAGAAGAAUGGAACAGCCAGCUGCAGAGAGGAGUAGAACACACUUCUACACGGGAUUUACCGCCCAUCCUUUAAGGAGACGAGGUGGGGAGAGAAGGCCAACUGCUUUCCCGUGGAUCUCGGACGAACGAGCCACAGAGCUCGGCCUCCGUUGAAGCGACACCGCCCCAGCUAUUGCUGCUCUGCUCUUUCUCCCGAUCUCCCAGUCGUGGCCUCUUCAUACCCUAGCCUACUGCCAGCGCUUGCCUGCCGGCUGGGCUGCUCGGCCGUGGGCCUGGUAGCGGCCCAGCUCGGCUGGCCUCCCCCUUUUUUUUAAUAAAGUGAAAACUCAAAAAUUGGACAGCAAUCCCCACCAUUUUCACUCUUAUUUUCUGAUCAAUGUCAUUGAGCUCUCGUACUGUUUAUAUACUACUUUUCGGCAGAGGCACUUGUUAGGUUUGAACCAAAGCCUAUCCCAGUGUACUCCAACCCUGCACGAGUAUGCGGAGGACUACGCCUUGAUCCACAAACCCUAGUGUGAGAAUCUUCGCACAAAAGGCACAUAGUACUAGGCAGAUUAUCUGCUUCUCUUACGGGGCAGGGCGUUACGGUCAUGCCCUUUAAUAUCUAUUCAUGAGCUCACUAGAGAGAAAACCCCAUUCUCUCCUGGACUGCGACCCCACAGUCAACUCAUAUAGGUGAAAUCAUUAAGGAAAUUCUGUAGGACAAUGUCUCUGCUUAUAGCAUUGACUUCAUUAAGAGCAUAUCGCUCAACCUGCCAUACAGACAGAGCACAGCAGCUAAUGAGACUGUUUGUAUUUUGUGCUCUUGGUUCCACAGUGCUUCGUUUCCUGGAGCCUGGAUCUCGGGACCUCCGGUCACACAGGACAGUUAUCCGCAGUUGAAACCGCUAACAGGGUACGAGUCCCAUUCCCAUGCACGCUGCUUGGAUUGGCUUUUGAGCCAGCCCUUUGGUGAAAGGAUCAGCAAGGUUCCUUUCAGACUUGAUGUAAUCUACGGUUAUUACACCUGUCUCUCUAGCAUGCCGACAUGAAUCAAGUCGUCUUCUGAUAUGCCUCGAGGAUUUUUGGUUUUCCUUUCUACUGUUCACUUUCAGCAACACAGAAAUGUUGUCACAGUAUACUAGGACAGCCGGUAUCGGCUUUGCUAGCAUUGGAAGGUCUGACAACAGGUCUCUCAACCAUUCAGCCUCCAAUGCUGCUGAAUCAAGUGCAACUAAUUCAGCCUCCUUGGUGGAACGUGUCGACACUGAUUAUUUAGACGAUCUCCAUGACACGGCCCCACCAGCUAAAGUGAACACAUAGCCACUUGUAGACUUCAUUUGAUCCGAGUCACAGAUCCAGUUUGCAUCACUGAAUCCUUCAAGUACUGACGGAAAUCCGGUAUAUUUAAUACCAAGAUUCAUCGCUCCUUCAAAUACCGAAGCACUCUGUACAACGCUACCUAGUGUCUAUCUCCUGGACUGGCCGAAUAACGAGCAAGUCUGCAUACUGCAUAUGAGUUAUCUGGUCUAGUUGCACUGCUCAGGUACAUGAGGGAUCCGAUGAUCUGCGAAUAUAGUAGCUGGUUCACAGGCUCGCCUUCAUAUUUACUGAGCGUGUAGGAUGGAUCAUAGGGCGUGGUGACUGGUUUACAGUCCAUAUGUCCAAAGCGAGUUAGGACCUUUUCCACAUAAUGGGAUUGUGACAAAGUAAUCCCAUCCUCACCCUUUAUCAGCUUGAUGUUCAGUAUAACAUCAGCUUCACCCAAGUCCUUCAUAUCAAAGUUCUUGGAGAGGAAUACUUUUGUCUCCAUGAUAGCCUCCAAAUCGGUCCCAAAUAUCAAUAUGUCAUCAACGUAUAAACACAUGAUGACACCUUUGCCCCUAGAGAAGCGAUAAUACACACACUUGUCGGCUUCAUUUACACAAAACCCGGCAGUGGUCAGAGUAUUAUUAAACUUCUCAUGCCAUUGUCUGGGAGCUUGUUUAAGACCGUAUAGGGAUUUAAUCAAGCGACACACUUUGCUCUCUUGUCCUUUAACCACAAAUCCUUCUGGUUGCUGCAUAUAAAUUUCCUCUUCCAGCUCUCCAUUUAGGAAUGUUGUCUUUACGUCCAUUUGAUGAACAAGAAGUUUAUAAGCAGCUGCCAGUGCUAAAAGCACACGGAUUGUGGGCAAUCGAGCCACCGGAGAAUAUGUAUCAAAAUAAUCCUCCUCUUUCUUUUGAGUAAAACCCUUAGCCACAAGACGGGCCUUGUACUUUUCAAUAGUACCAUCGGGUCUCCUCUUCCUCCUAAAGAUCCAUUUGCAGCCCACAGGCUUGCAACCAGCUGGGAGAUCAGUUAUCUCCCAAGUUCCGUUCGAGAUGAUGGAAUCCAUCUCGCUACGGACAGCCUCCCUCCAGUACUCUGCAUCCGGAGAUGUAUAUGCCUCUGUGAGGGAGCGUGGUUCUUCAUCCACUAGAUAAAUAAUAUAAUCGUCACCCAGAGACUUUUCAGUCCUUUGUCUCUUACUCCUCCUUAACUCCAAAUCUGGAGUCUGGUCAUGGACACUCGAGGGCAGAGAAUAUGUCCGAGAUGGACCAUCUGGGGCUACUACUUCCUUAUCCCGCAUAGGGAAGAUGCUCUCAAAGAAUGUCACAUCCCGAGACUCCAUUAUUACAUUUACAACGAUUUUGCUUGUCUCGGAAUGGACCACUAGAAAUCUAUAAGCUGCACUGUUAUGUGCAUAACCCAGGAAGACACAGUCUACGGUCUUAGGGCCUAGCUUUCUCUUCUUCGGCAACGUGACAUUCACCUUUGCAAGGCAGCCCCAAGUCCGAAGAUGUGAAAGAUCUGGCUUCCUUCCUUUAAAUCCUUCAUAGGGCGUGGCCUCACGGUUGCGAGGCGGCACCCUGUUCAGGACAUAGCACACUGUGAGUACUGUCUCGCCCCACCAGAUGUCAGGCAUCCCCGAACUUUGCAACAAAGCAUUAGCUAAGUCACACACCGUUCGGUUCUUCCUUUCAGCUACCCCAUUUGACUGAGGUGAAUAUGGAGCAGUGGUUUCAUGAAUGAUUCCACACUCUUUGCAGUACUCAUCAAAAAGGUUGGAAAGGUAUUCACCUCCUCUAUCAGACCGUAGCCUUUUAAUUUUCUUGUCUAACUGGUUUUCAACUUCAGUCUUAUAGAUCUUAAAGUGUUCUAGUGCCUCAUCUUUAGUUCUGAGUAAGUAAAUAUAACAGAACCUGGUAGCAUCAUCUAUCAAGGUAAGAAAGUAUCUUUUACCGCCUUUUGUGAUUAUACCAUUCAUCUCACAGAUAUCUGAGUGAAUUAGUUCUAAAGGAGUGGUACUUCUGCCUUCAACCGUAUGAAACGGUUUUCUAGGCUGCUUAGCUUGCACACAAAUACCACAUUUUACACCUUUAACAUGUUUAUAUUCAGGAAUUAAAGACAUGUCACUUAAUCUCUUAAUGGCCUCAAAAUUCACAUGACACAAACGGGAAUGCCAUAUAUUAUUAAUGGAAUCGUUAUUACAGACCACAUUAACAUGGUAAGAAGAAUGAUUGUUCAAAACAGAAAGACGGAACAAACCACCUGACUCAUAUGACUUUCCAACAAAAGUACCAAACUUAGACAGGACCACUUUAUUAGACUCAAACACUAAUUUGAGACCCUGUCGACAUAGCAGCGACACUGAAAUGAGGUUCCGGCUCAUCGAUGGCACAUAGAGUACGUCCUUCAGCACGAGCGUCUUUCCUGAAGUUAACUUCAGGUAGACCUGUCCAGUACCUCGAACUGCUGUCGGAACACCAUUUCCCAUCAAGACUGGUGCGCUGUUGUAUCCCUGGAAUGAAGAGAACAUGGAUCGAUCAGCACAAAUAUGAACAGUAGCACCGGAAUCCAUCCACCAGUCAUCUGAUGGACUUGCCAUAAAGGCCUGAGGUGCAUACCCUGGGGUGGAGUUAACCACCACGUUCCCUUCUUUGCGCUGAGGUGGAGGACCUUUUCCCUUCCUAAGUUUGCACCUCCGAGCUGUAUGCCCGGAGACACCACAAACGUAGCAGAUAAAGUCCUCCUUUUUCUUCUUCAUCUUUUUGGACUUAGGUUGGUUCAUAUUCUUCUGUGGAGAGUUCUUCUUCUUCUUCUGGAAUUUUCUAUCUCCACCCUUCUCAACAACGUGAGCCUGGAGUUGCUGGGAUGGCUUGUUACUGGACCUUGCACGCUCUUCCACAUUUAUCGUAGCUGACAGCUCAGUGAGAGUCAUUUGCUUCUUCAUGUGGCGGCGUGAAGUCACAAAGUCUCGCCAAGAAGGCGGGAGCUUUGCCAGUAUUGCAUUCACCUGAAAACUGUCUGGUAGGACGCGGCCAUAUUGGACCAAGUCCCUAACAAGGAGUUGAAUCUCCUGUAGCUGCUCCAUAACAGACCUUCCCUCAACCAUUUUAUAGUUAAGGUAGUUUUCCGUUGUGAAUGACUCAUUGCCAUUGUCAACUUCAGAGAACUCGUUCUCAAGUUCAGUCCAUAGACCCUUAGCGGAGGUAAAACCAGAGUACACGUCAAAUAAGCGGUUCGACAAGACGUUCAGCAGACGAGACAAGCAUGCCUCAUUGGCUUCAUCCCACUUGGCCUUCUCCGCUAGUGCGGCGGCUUUCGCUGCAUCAUCAGAAUCAUCUGAUGCAGCCUGGGGAACAGCCGACGUCACUACCCAAAAUAAUUUUAGGUCAGUGAGCCACAUGCGAGUCUUAAUCUGCCAGCGUUUAAAGCUUGCGCCGUCGAACGCUUCAGGCUUAAUGACAUCAGAACUGGAGGCCAUUAUACGAAUUGGUUUUCUGGAUUGUUGUAAAUUUAGAGAAAUAAGUGACAUGCUUUCUACAUAUUUAUAUAUAUUAAAUAUUUUAAUUCCGAAUAAAACAAUCAUAUAACUCAGAUAAAUACCAUAUGAAAUUAUAGCAGGAAUGAACAGUAGCAAUUCUAAGACAUGUAAACAUGUAAAAUAGCUACACAGGUCCAUUUCAUAAUUAAACAUGGCUUGCAGAUGAAGAAGGCAGAUUAAACAAAUAAACAUAAUUAUUUAUCUUAAACUAUUGCUCUCAAAAUAGCGGGUUGCUGUAAUAAACAGCCCUCCAACGCUAAAAGGUGAUCAGAGAUCCUCGACUAACGUGACAGUCCUAUCUUACCAAAUAAGGGUUUUAGAUCAGAUGUAAUAAGCCUAAUAAUCAAAUAUAAAUACUGAUAGAAAGGAGCUGUCUACUAAAUAAAUUAACAGAAUUUAACACAGGUAAACAGCCUCAACAAAGAGAGAUUUAAUUAGGCACAAAUAAUAUCAAUGAUGAAAAUGAUAAUACACUAAAACCCAGACUGUCACGCUGUCUCACUACACCGCUAUCAUCAUCGAGCACACAAAUCCGCCCACAACACUGCAAUCACACCCAAGUAUUUAAUACUAGCAGAUUGCACAAAAUUAAACAGUAAAUAAAGUGAGGCAACGAAUAACUCACAACACGUAGAUUGUCUACGUGGGAAGACCAGCUCAGCGAACACAAGGUUCUGUCCCAGAAAACCAAUUCCGCUGCCCACGUUCGGGCCUGCACGGCGGGAGGCUGACGGAGAUACUAGAGCCGCUGCCGGAGCCGAGGGAGACGUCCACGGUACCAGCCCGAGAAGACGAACACCGCGCAGCAGGGAGCCCAGGCACCAGGCCACGGUGGACAGAGAUCAGAUCAGACAGAGCACCACGCAGGCGCACUGUAAAUCAACGGAGCACAGGAGAACCUUGCUGCACAAGAACAACACCACCUCUACUAGCUUCCAAUCACCACCAGCGAUUAAACACAGGAACACUAGGGACUUAUGGAGCUAGAAGAAUGGAACAGCCAGCUGCAGAGAGGAGUAGAACACACUUCUACACGGGAUUUACCGCCCAUCCUUUAAGGAGACGAGGUGGGGGAGAGGAGGCCAACUGCUUUCCCGUGGAUCUCGGAUGAACGAGCCGUAGAGCUCGGCCUCCGUUGAAGCGCCGCCGCCCCAGCUAUUGCUGCUCUGCUCUUUCUCCCGAUCUCCCAGUCGUGGCCUCUUCAUACCCUAUCCUACUGCCAGCGCUUGCCUGCCGGCUGGACUGCUCGGCCGUGGGCCUGGUAGCGGCCCAGCUCGGCUAGCCUCCCCCCUUUUUUUAAUAAAGUGAAAACUCAAAAAUUGGACAACAGUUUAGUUGUUGGAUCAUGUUUCAAUUAACAAAAUAAUCUUAUCAUGAACAAUAAAUAAACCAACGGUACUAAUAAAGAAUGGUCAUGUGUCAAAUAUAUCUUAACACUCAAAAACACAUAGAGCAAUAGUAGAACUACCCAAAAGUUCAGUGGUAAGCAAGGUAUAAAGUGAACCAAACUAAGGUGACAUAGUAGGUCCCAUCAAAAUUAAACCUAAACAUGACACGGUGAUUAUAGAGAAUAUUGUUGAGUAAAGAAGAGUGGUCAAGGGCAUAACUUGCCUUCAACGAGCUCUUACUCAGUUUCUUCAACCUGGUGAGCUCCUGGGUCCUCGGUUACUUGCUCGUCUACUCUCAACAAUACAAACAGACAUUGCAUAGGAAAAAAAUAACAUCACACCAAACAUAAGAACACAAUGCAUGAUAACGAUCUACGCAUCUUAACGAGAUCCUAGGUUCGAGAACCACUAAAUUCGGACGGUUAAAGAGUUAUGAUUUUCUAAAGGUUUAGGUGUUAAACAUAAAACAAUUUAAGUGCUUGAUUUUAUAACUAUGCUACAUGGUAAAAUAAGGGUACUAACUGAUGAACAACAUUAAUAUAACUUCAAUGCAACUGGAAUAGACCAAAUUAGAGUUAAAACACAAGAGAUAUGGAUUCUAUAUGGUUUCUAUACUUAUUUCUAUACUAUAAAUCCAUUUCUGCAUUCAUUUUAUUAUUCAUUGGAUCCUGCUGGGUCAUGGCCAUUAUUUACAGUAAAGUCAGGGUUUGGUCUGCAAGAAAAAGGACCCCGGUGUAAUGGUCUUGCAACAACAGAGGAUGGCAAGUUGAUUAACUAUGUUUCCUGAGGGCUAUUAUGCAAGAAGCGCGCCGCAAAGUGCUAGGGCUCCCAGGGAUCGCUGGAUCCCGAUCGAACGGUCGGGAUUAGGUUCAGCCCACGGCGAACCGCUACGCAACAUGGUUCACCGAAUCCGCGAUCAAGGGCCCGGGAAAACAGUGCUACCACAAGGGUGGAAUGGGACACCCUUGGCCUAGUAAUUAGGAAAGCCAGGGAGAGAUUAUCUUACCUGAAAGGGGCAAGCAGGGAGGCGUCGCUACAAAGUAUAGGGAGGUUCUCGGGUUGGACUGUCUGUUUAGCUUUCUAGACGAGGGAUUCCUAUGCUUCCUUCUUCCCGAAUCUGUAGCGAGUUUUCUAGAACUAGUAGAACUUUGGAAAGGCCUCGUAGUGCUACCCCGCCUCGUCUCCUCGGUAGAGAUGAAUGGGACUUCUAGACCCCUUGGCAAAUAGGUAGCAUGGCUUGUGGGUAAAGAUGUGUAACCUCUGUAGAGUGUAAAACUGCUAUAUCAGUCGUGCUCAUGGUCAUGAGCGGCUCGGACACUCACGUGAUUAACUUAUGGAAGUAAACUUAAUUUGUCAUAUGCAUAUCACUGUGGGUUUUAUUAUUAAUUUUGAUCUUUUAUUAUUGUGGGAUGGUAUAUACUUGCACUUAGUAAUUGCUAAUAAAAUUUGACCAACUUAUUAAAAGCAAUGCUGAGCUUUAACCAUUAUUUGUUGACCAGUCUUACACUCCACAUGAGUCCCCACCGUAAGUGAGCUCAUGCACACUAUUCCCCACACUUGUUGAGCGAUGAACUUUUGUGAGGCCACCCUUACGAUAACCCCCCAUAGGUGAAGAGCAGGUG